ACCCAGCAUAACCCAGCGGCAAACACAGGCUACAAGUGCUGUGGCUAGAAAUAACGGACUUUCUCCGGGUGCCAUGCGGACGCGAGUGUUCACAGCUUCAGCUUUACUGAGUGGCCAAAGCAGAAGGAAACUUGCCUUCUCAUUUGAGGGAUUCUGUCACAGGAAUGUGUGAGUCCCUGGAUAAAUUUGGCUUGGUGAUGGCAGUGUGCUCUUCCCAGAGAUUCUGCCACUUUCUCCUUGCUCCUUUUCUGCCCUGACCCGAGUUUCUCACUGCUAACCUCAGUGACAAGUCAGAAGAUUUGCCCCUUCCAUCAUCUUCUGUUCCCGGGUUCCCUUUCCCGUGUUUGUAACUCUGAUGAGAAACUGAGGCCAAGGUGUCUUCAACCAGCCAUGGCUGUAAAGGGAAUGAGGACCAGAGGAGCAGGCCUCCCUACAGUCCGGGAUUAAAUUCUGCCAGAUUCUUCUUAUCUAAUUGUGUUGCUGAUAGCAAAAGUUUGGAAAUUUCGGGGAGAAAUCUAUCCAGCUCCCAUGGAGCUCCACUCUCUGUCUAAGAGGAACAGCCCAGUGGACCCAUGCAAUGCUUUGGAGUGGAGUUCAGGAGAGACUUCUGGUGACCAUAUAGAAGAGGCAACCAUCAGAGAUGCUUUUUGCUAUGUAUCUGAUUUGUGAUUUAAAAGAACAGAAGACUGCUAAGAACCACCAAGUUCUCUCUGACCUGGGGUGUUUUCACUCGUGUGACUGCUUAAUUGAGUAAAACCCAGAUACUUACCUUGUUAUCAAAAACUUAAAAUAUCUGAGCCCAUCCUCUCCCUUUAGAAAAAAUCUGGAUUAAGGCCCAGUUUGACCAUGGCUAGCAUACAUCUGUUAGGUACAAGUGUAAAUAAACAAACUCCUAUACCAAAUUUGUGUGUCUUCCUUUCCUUCGCUCCUAAAGUGAAUAAUUUAAAAUACACUAUGAUAGCUGAAUAUCAAGAAUGAAGGAUAUGAGUGCAUAUAUAUAUAUAUAUAUAUAUAUCUGUUUUCUUUUAAAUUUCUUUAUAAGAAGAAAGCAUCUUAAAUAAUUACAUCUGAAAGUUCUGGAUUUUAUCUCUCAAAUGUACACACAUAUAAUUAAUGGUCCAGAUUAAUGGUCAGAGCAAAAGAGAAAAUGUCUAUGUAUCUAUUAGAAAGUUUUUUUAAAAAACAAUUUUUAUUAGAUAUUUUCUUCAUUUACAUUUCAAAUGCUAUCCCAAAGUCCCCUAUACCUGCCCUGCUCCCCAAUCCACCCAUCCCCCGCUUCCUGGCCCUGGCAUUCCCCUGUACUGGGGCAUAUAAUCUUCCCAAGACCAAAGGCCUCUCCUCUCCUCUCAACUCAAGCUACCACAGAAAAGUGCCCUGACAAAAGGGAUUCAUAAUGCUUGUCAAUGGUUCCCUGGUGGCAGCAAGAUAUAAUAUUAUCUGCUAGAUCUGACUACACCAAAGAACAAGUCCCACCCUUACAGCUUCCUGGCACAGCUUAAGCUUUUAUAAGACAGAACAGAAACAAUGAUCAUGAUGAAGAGAAGUAAAAUUAAGUCCCAGUAGGCUUCUCCCAGCACUGUGGAACUCAUAAGACAAGAUAAUUAACAGUGUUGACUGUCGGUUUCCUUUUGGCUAUAACCUUUUAUGGUCCACACAGUAUUCUACAAAAUAUCUCUUAGUUUUUAUGGGCAUACAACUUUGGAAUUAAUUUGCCUGAGUGAUAUCAAUACUGUCAAUUGAAAGAUGUUGCUGCAAACACAGAAUUGCUUUUUGAAAACGUCCAUGACUUAAAACCAUACUCAUUGCUUUUGUUUGUUUAGUAUGUAGAUUGAUGUGUGCAAGCCUGCAUAUAUGUUAGGUUAUGUUUUGUAGGUAUAUAACAUUUAUAUUCCUAAGUUGUUCUUAGACUAAAGUCUUAAUGGAAUUUGCCAUGCCUUCAUGUUGAUUUUGUGAACAAGAAGUCUUUCACAGGUAACUAUACAGAGUCUGGAAUCAACCUCAGAAUGAAAACACUAAAAGUACACAAACCUUCUUUGCCAUUGUUGUUCAGAGUCUCACAAAUGCUUUCUGGUUUCUUUAUAACUUUGCAAUUAUAAGCCCAUAAGUAUGCAGAAUAUUUAUGAAUGAUUUUAACUUGAGUUACAGGGGUUUUUUGUUUGUUUGUUUUUUGUUUUUUUAACCAAGAAUAUGGGCAGCAUUGUCCUCGCCUCCAAAGUUGAGUGAUUCCUCUGUGGUUCAGAAAAGCUAGUCUUACUUCUCAGUCUGACCGCUUCCUAGACAGACCACAAGCAAGUUUGAGUAUGAAGACAAAGAUGGACCCUUCCUCUGCUGUGUAUUUCUCCGUGAUUCUCUUCUGCCUUUUCACUCUACUUUUCUUGCCAAAUCAAAGUAAUUGAUGUUGAUUUGUAUCUUCUGAUACUAUAAAGGGCAAUCACAAAACAUGAUGGGCUUUUCCCUCAUGGCACUGAUGCUGUAUAUGUUAACAGGGUAUCCUGUUAUUUUAAAACAUAAAUAUUGAAAAGUUUUCAGUGUGUUUAACUUUUACUGAAGUCUAAUAUAAUGCAUAUUUGGUCUUUUAAAAUUAUUCAUGUACAAGAAAAAUAAAUAAAAGUAGCGUUUACCCC
rnacentral:lncRNA from 1 species